rnacentral:rRNA from 1 species
CAUGCAAGUCGAGCGGAUGAGUGGAGCUUGCUCCAUGAUUCAGCGGCGGACGGGUGAGUAAUGCCUAGGAAUCUGCCUGGUAGUGGGGGACAACGUUUCGAAAGGAACGCUAAUACCGCAUACGUCCUACGGGAGAAAGCAGGGGACCUUCGGGCCUUGCGCUAUCAGAUGAGCCUAGGUCGGAUUAGCUAGUUGGUGAGGUAAUGGCUCACCAAGGCGACGAUCCGUAACUGGUCUGAGAGGAUGAUCAGUCACACUGGAACUGAGACACGGUCCAGACUCCUACGGGAGGCAGCAGUGGGGAAUAUUGGACAAUGGGCGAAAGCCUGAUCCAGCCAUGCCGCGUGUGUGAAGAAGGUCUUCGGAUUGUAAAGCACUUUAAGUUGGGAGGAAGGGCAUUAACCUAAUAUGUUAGUGUUUUGACGUUACCGACAGAAUAAGCACCGGCUAACUUCGUGCCAGCAGCCGCGGUAAUACGAAGGGUGCAAGCGUUAAUCGGAAUUACUGGGCGUAAAGCGCGCGUAGGUGGUUUGUUAAGUUGAAUGUGAAAGCCCCGGGCUCAACCUGGGAACUGCAUCCAAAACUGGGCAGCUAGAGUAUGGCAGAGGGUGGUGGAAUUUCCUGU